rnacentral:rRNA from 1 species
GACGAACGCUGGCGGCGCGCCUAACACAUGCAAGUCGAGCGAGAACCAGGACUUCGGUCCUGGGGACAGCGGCGAACGGGUGAGUAACACGUGGAUAACCUGCCCUCGGCACCGGAAUAGCCCGGGGAAACUCGGAUUAAUGCCGGAUAGCCCCACAUCCCUGCGGGGAACGUGGGAAAAGGUAGCUUCGGCCUCUGGCCGGGGAUGGGUCCGCGGUGGAUUAGCUUGCUGGCGGGGUAAUGGCCCACCAAGGCGACGAUCCAUAGCUGGUCUGAGAGGACGAGCAGCCACACGGGGACUGAGACACGGCCCAGACUCCUACGGGAGGCAGCAGUGGGGAAUCUUGCGCAAUGGGCGAAAGCCUGACGCAGCGACGCCGCGUGCGGGAAGAAGGCCUUCGGGUUGUAAACCGCUUUCAGGGGGGACGAAGCCACUCGGGUGAAUAGCCCAGAGGGUGACGGUACCUCCAGAAGAAGCCCCGGCUAACUACGUGCCAGCAGCCGCCGCCG